rnacentral:rRNA from 1 species
AUUGAACGCUGGCGGCAGGCCUAACACAUGCAAGUCGAGCGGAUGACGGGAGCUUGCUCCUUGAUUCAGCGGCGGACGGGUGAGUAAUGCCUAGGAAUCUGCCUGGUAGUGGGGGACAACGUUUCGAAAGGAACGCUAAUACCGCAUACGUCCUACGGGAGAAAGCAGGGGACCUUCGGGCCUUGCGCUAUCAGAUGAGCCUAGGUCGGAUUAGCUUGUUGGUGAGGUAAUGGCUCACCAAGGCGACGAUCCGUAACUGGUCUGAGAGGAUGAUCAGUCACACUGGAACUGAGACACGGUCCAGACUCCUACGGGAGGCAGCAGUGGGGAAUAUUGGACAAUGGGCGAAAGCCUGAUCCAGCCAUGCCGCGUGUGUGAAGAAGGUCUUCGGAUUGUAAAGCACUUUAAGUUGGGAGGAAGGGUUGUAGAUUAAUACCCUGCAAUUUUGACGUUACCGACAGAAUAAGCACCGGCUAACUCUGUG